rnacentral:misc_RNA from 1 species
GAUGAAGAACGUAGCGAAAUGCGAUAAGUAGUGUGAAUUACAGAAUUCAGUGAAUCAUCGAAUCUUUGAACGCACAUUGCGCCCCUUGGUAUUCCAUGGGGCAUGCCUGUUCGAGCGUCAUUUGUACCUUCAAGCUCUGCUUGGUGUUGGGUGUUUGUCUCGCCUCUGCGUGUAGACUCGCCUUAAAACAAUUGGCAGCCGGCGUAUUGAUUUCGGAGCGCAGUACAUCUCGCGCUUUGCACUCAUAACGACGACGUCCAAAAGUACAUUUUUACACUCUUGACCUCGGAUCAGGUAGGGAUACCCGCUGAACUUAAGCAUAUCAAUAAGCGGAA